AAGGAAAGCUAUGUUGAAGCUUGAUCUGAGCAUACCUUAUGUUGAAGAUCAGUGAGCUGAUCCAGCAUGAUUUGUGUCUGUCAAAAUGUCAUGAACAACAAAUUAAGUUAUUCGUACUUGAGUUGUUUACAUAUAAUCUCAAGAAUGUGCUGCUAACACUCCACAUGGAUUUUCUAUAGGUCUUAGCCCAAAAUU